UCCAGACUCCUACGGGAGGCAGCAGUGAGGAAUAUUGGUCAAUGGGCGGGAGCCUGAACCAGCCAAGCCGCGUGAGGGAAGAAGGUACAGCGUAUCGUAAACCUCUUUUGUCAGGGAACAAAGGCGGGGACUAGUCCCCGGAUGAGGGUACCUGAAGAAAAAGCAUCGGCUAACUCCGUGCCAGCAGCCGCGGUAAUACGGAGGAUGCGAGCGUUAUCCGGAUUUAUUGGGUUUAAAGGGUGCGUAGGCGGGACCUUAAGUCAGCGGUAAAAUUGCGGUGCUCAACGCCGUAGAGCCGUUGAAACUGGGGCUCUUGAGUGAGCGAGAAGUAUGCGGAAUGCGUGGUGUAGCGGUGAAAUGCAUAGAUAUCACGCAGAACCCCGAUUGCGAAGGCAGCCUUCCGGCGCCCUACUGACGCUGAGGCACGAAAGUGCGGGGAUCGAACAGGAUUAGAUACCCCAGUAUG
rnacentral:rRNA from 1 species